rnacentral:rRNA from 1 species
UACGAAGGGUGCAAGCGUUACUCGGAAUUACUGGGCGUAAAGCGUGCGUAGGUGGUGAGUUAAGUCUGAUGUGAAAUCCCCGGGCUCAACCUGGGAAUGGCAUUGGAUACUGGCUCGCUAGAGUGUGGUAGAGGGUGGUGGAAUUCCCGGUGUAGCAGUGAAAUGCGUAGAGAUCGGGAGGAACAUCUGUGGCGAAGGCGGCCACCUGGACCAGCACUGACACUGAGGCACGAAAGCGUGGGGAGCAAACAGG